rnacentral:lncRNA from 1 species
CUCAAAAAGAAGAAGGAUUUUUGCUGCUGACUGCAGAGGGAUGAACAUUUGCUAUCUAGUUCAAUAUAGCCCAGUUCAGGCAAUAGAAAAAAUUUGACAACCAUCAUGGAAAUAUUGUUGUGAUACAAUACUUCUACUACAAAAAAUUCCAAGGAUAUAUGCUUUCCUAUUUUCCUCUUCCAGUGUUUUUGGACCACUGUGAUAUGUCAGCUGUGUUCAAAGCUGUCCUCUGUGCAGGAAUAUUUUGCUGAUUUGCAAAAGGCUGAAAAAUAUGUAAUCAGAAUAAGGAACUAUCCAUAGUACCUGCAUGCACAUGGGUGCACACAGGCCAAGGCCAAAAAUCCCAAGUCAUCACUUCACUCCCAUAGGUGAAGAAAGGAGGAUUUGGCCUUCUAUUACUAUCAACCUGCACCUCAGGAAGUCUUCCAUCAUCCCCUUAUCACCAUUGGUGAAUCAGAGCUCAAAUCAGUCCAGCAGUGUAAUUACCUAGGUAGCCUCAUCUCCUCGGAUGGUGAGAUUGAUGGGGAGAUAGACAACAGGUUAGCAAAGGCAUAGAGAGCUUUUGGAAAACUCCAUAAAAGAGUU